rnacentral:rRNA from 1 species
AUUGAACGCUGGCGGCAUGCUUUACACAUGCAAGUCGAGCGGCAGCGCGGGGGCAACCCUGGCGGCGAGCGGCGAACGGGUGAGUAGUGCAUCGGAACGUAUCCUCGAGUGGGGGAUAACCCAGCGAAAGUUGGGCUAAUACCGCAUGAGCUCUGAGGAGGAAAGCGGGGGACCUGCGAGGGCCUCGCGCUGGAGGAGCGGCCGAUGUCCGAUUAGCUAGUUGGUGGGGUAAAGGCUUACCAAGGCGACGAUCGGUAGCUGGUCUGAGAGGAUGAUCAGCCACACUGGGACUGAGACACGGCCCAGACUCCUACGGGAGGCAGCAGUGGGGAAUUUUGGACAAUGGGGGCAACCCUGAUCCAGCCAUGCCGCGUGAGUGAAGAAGGCCUUCGGGUUGUAAAGCUCUUUCGGACGGAACGAAAUGGGCGGGACUAAUACUCCUGUCUGAUGACGGUACCGUAAGAAGAAGCACCGGCUAACUACGUG